rnacentral:rRNA from 1 species
AUUGAACGCUGGCGGCAUGCCUUACACAUGCAAGUCGAACGGCAGCAUGGGUGCUUGCACCUGAUGGCGAGUGGCGAACGGGUGAGUAAUGCAUCGGAACGUACCCGGAAGUGGGGGAUAACGUAGCGAAAGUUACGCUAAUACCGCAUAUUCUGUGAGCAGGAAAGCAGGGGAUCGCAAGACCUUGCGCUGAUUGAGCGGCCGAUAUCAGAUUAGCUAGUUGGUGAGGUAAAGGCUCACCAAGGCGACGAUCUGUAGCGGGUCUGAGAGGAUGAUCCGCCACACUGGAACUGAGACACGGUCCAGACUCCUACGGGAGGCAGCAGUGGGGGAAUUUUGGACAAUGGGGGCGAACCCCUGAUCCAGCCAUGCCGCGUGAGUGAAGAAGG